AGAUUGAACGCUGGCGGCAGGCCUAACACAUGCAAGUCGAGCGGUAGAGAGGUGCUUGCAUCUCUUGAGAGCGGCGGACGGGUGAGUAAUGCCUAGGAAUCUGCCUAGUGGUGGGGGAUAACGUUCGGAAACGGACGCUAAUACCGCAUACGUCCUACGGGAGAAAGCGGGGGACCUUCGGGCCUCGCGCCAUUAGAUGAGCCUAGGUCGGAUUAGCUAGUUGGUGAGGUAAUGGCUCACCAAGGCGACGAUCCGUAACUGGUCUGAGGAGGAUGAUCAGUCACACUGGAACUGAGACACGGUCCAGACUCCUACGGGAGCAGCAGGUGGGAAUAGUUGGACAAGUGGGACAAAGCCUGA
rnacentral:rRNA from 1 species